CAUAACAAAUUCCAUCGCACUUACUACAUAUACUAUUUUGCAUUCAUUUUAAUUUACCAAUUUGCAAUAUCAAAAACACACUUGAAUAUAAUAAUGAAGAAGAUCAUGGCAUGCAAUUACAACUUAAAUAGUAAAUAUCGGUAAUAAUAAAACGCAUUGAGUUCGGAAUAAGGAAUCGGUCAGAAAAAUUUUGGAAUUGGGUAAUUUAAUUUUAUAAAACUAGUCUAAUAUUUUGAUAAUAUUAGUGAAUAUGCAGCAAAAAUCACAGUAAUUGAAGAAAAAAAUGUAAUUGUAGGAACAGAAUGAAUAGUACCGAAGUAAGAGUAAGAAAAUUUGGCCAUAUCUAUCAAUCUCAACUUAUAAUAACAUGUUUAAAAACACAAAUGGGUUUGAUCUUUUAAAAUAUAUUUAAGUGAGGGUUUUCAUUUUGAACUUCCAAAGGUCAGAGGCAAGGAAAUUAUAAGUAUUCAUAUUUUAGAAUUCUAAAUACAGACAAACAGCUAAAAGUAAAACAUUCAACUUGUUUACAAUAAGUCCUAUUUUAUAGUGAUAUGUAAAAAUUAAAUUCAUCUUUUACAUUAUCAUUAAUUUGAAAGUAUUUAGAUUUUAACUAUGGACAUCCCUAUACAACAUAGCUUGAAGAAAAAUAGAUAUUACUGGCAAUAGGCAAGGCUUCAGUUGGGCUGUGGAUGAAAACAAAUGCAGUGUAAUAACAAAAACAUACAACUACAAUUUGCUUACGAUAUUUGCCUGAAAAAGGAACUUCACGUAUAAAUUAUGAGCAAUACGUGAAAUCAGCAUUCAGGAAAUUGAUAUAAUUACAAACAGGUUUAUGAGCUUAAUGAUUUUAACAUUUAUUGCUCACAUAGGUUG